rnacentral:rRNA from 1 species
UACGGGGGGAGCAAGCGUUGUUCGGAUUUACUGGGCGUAAAGGGCGCGUAGGCGGCGCAACAAGUCACUUGUGAAAUCUCCGGGCUUAACCCGGAGCGGCCAAGUGAUACUGUCGUGCUAGAGUGCGGAAGGGGCUACUGGAAUUCUCGGUGUAGCGGUGAAAUGCGUAGAUAUCGAGAGGAACACCGGUGGCGAAGGCGCUCUGCUAGGCCGUAACUGACACUGAGGGACGAAAGCUAGGGGAGCGAAUGGG